GAAGCUUCCUUCGGGAAGUGGAUUAGCGGCGGACGGGUGAGUAACACGUGGGUAACCUGCCUCAAAGUGGGGGAUAGCCUUCCGAAAGGAAGAUUAAUACCGCAUAACAUAAGAGAAUCGCAUGAUUUUCUUAUCAAAGAUUUAUUGCUUUGAGAUGGACCCGCGGCGCAUUAGCUAGUUGGUAAGGUAACGGCUUACCAAGGCAACGAUGCGUAGCCGACCUGAGAGGGUGAUCGGCCACAUUGGAACUGAGACACGGUCCAGACUCCUACGGGAGGCAGCAGUGGGGAAUAUUGCGCAAUGGGGGAAACCCUGACGCAGCAACGCCGCGUGGGUGAGAAGGUCUUCGGAUUGUAACCUGUUUUCUGGGACGAUAAUGACGGUACCAGAGGAGGAAGCCACGGCUAACUACGUGCCAGCAGCCGCGGUAAUACGUAGGUGGCGAGCGUUGUCCGGAUUUACUGGGCGUAAAGGGUGCGUAGGCGGAUGUUUAAGUGGGAUGUGAAAUCCCCGGGCUUAACCUGGGGGCUGCAUUCCAAACUGGAUAUCUAGAGUGCAGGAGAGGAAAGCGGAAUUCCUAGUGUAGCGGUGAAAUGCGUAGAGAUUAGGAAGAACACCAGUGGCGAAGGCGGCUUUCUGGACUGUAACUGACGCUGAGGCACGAAAGCGUGGGUAGCAAACAGGAUUAGAUACCCUGGUAGUCCACGCCGUAAACGAUGGAUACUAGGUGUAGGGGGUAUCAACUCCCCCUGUGCCGCAGUUAACACAAUAAGUAUCCCGCCUGGGGAGUACGGUCGCAAGAGUAAAACUCAAAGGAAUUGACGGGGGCCCGCACAAGCAGCGGAGCAUGUGGUUUAAUUCGAAGCAACGCGAAAAACCUUACCUGGACUUGACAUCCCUUGCAUAGCCUAGAGAUAGGUGAAGCCCUUCGGGGCAAGGAGACAGGAGGUGCAUGGGUGUCGUCAGCUCGUGUCGUGAGAUGUUAGGUUAAGUCCUGCAACGAGCGCAACCCUUGUUAUUAGUUGCUACCAUUAAGUUGAGCACUCUAAUGAGACUGCCUGGGUAACCAGGAGGAAGGUGGGGAUGACGUCAAAUCAUCAUGCCCCUUAUGUCCAGGGCUACACACGUGCUACAAUGGUAGGUACAAUAAGACGCAAGACCGUGAGGUGGAGCAAAACUUAUAAAACCUAUCUCAGUUCGGAUUGUAGGCUGCAACUCGCCUACAUGAAGCUGGAGUUGCUAGUAAUCGCGAAUCAGAAUGUCGCGGUGAAUACGUUCCCGGGCCUUGUACACACCGCCCGUCACACCAUGAGAGCUGGUAACACCCGAAGUCCGUGAGGUAACCGUAAGGAGC
rnacentral:rRNA from 2 species